GACAACUGCAUCCUCAGACAACAAAGAGGACCGACUCUUGAAUCUCUCUCUCGUUACUGUUAAGCAAGGUCCUCAAAGAAGUUUGUAGUUGAUUCAGGCAUCUGUCAGGGCUAGAGGUUGUUGUUUCUGUCCAUGGGAUCAAUCUUCCUGUCUGACCCUAAAGGACAAACGGAACUCUUGAGGAUGUGGAAGGAGAGAGAGAGACGCCAGUGAAAACAUUAACAUAAGUAAGCUCUCUCCACGACAUGCCUCUCUGUAGCCGUGUAUGGCUGUGCAGACACAGG
ensembl:lncRNA